UACGUAGGCAGCAAGCGUUGUUCGGAGUUACUGGGCGUAAAGAGUGCGUAGGUGGUGCCCUAAGUCUGUUGUGAAAUCUCCCGGCUUAACUGGGAGGGUGCGGUGGAUACUGUCGGGCUAGAGUGCGGAAGAGGCGAGUGGAAUUCCUGGUGUAGCGGUGAAAUGCGCAGAUAUCAGGAGGAACAUCUGUGGCGAAGGCGACUGCCUGGACCAGCACUGA
rnacentral:rRNA from 1 species